CACGUAGGCUGUUAUGUAAGUCAGGGGUGAAAGCCCACGGCUCAACCGUGGAACUGCCCUUGAUACUGCACGACUCGAAUCCGGGAGAGGGUGGCGGAAUUCCAGGUGUAGGAGUGAAAUCCGUAGAUAUCUGGAGGAACAUCAGUGGCGAAGGCGGCUCUCUGGACUGUAACUGACGCUGAGGCUCGAAAAGGCCACGGGGGAAGGGCAAACGG
rnacentral:rRNA from 1 species